rnacentral:rRNA from 1 species
UACGUAGGGUGCAAGCGUUGUCCGGAAUUAUUGGGCGUAAAGAGCUCGUAGGCGGUUUGUCGCGUCUGCUGUGAAAACUGGAGGCUCAACCUCCAGCCUGCAGUGGGUACGGGCAAACUAGAGUGCGGUAGGGGAGAUUGGAAUUCCUGGUGUAGCGGUGGAAUGCGCAGAUAUCAGGAGGAACACCGAUGGCGAAGGCAGCUCGCUGGGACGGUACUGACGCUGAGACGCGAAAGCGUGGGGAGCAAACAGG